rnacentral:rRNA from 1 species
CCUACGGGAGGCAGCAGUGAGGAAUAUUGGUCAAUGGACGAGAGUCUGAACCAGCCAAGUAGCGUGAAGGAUGACUGCCCUAUGGGUUGUAAACUUCUUUUAUAUGGGAAUAAAAUGUUCCACGUGUGGGAUUUUGUAUGUACCAUAUGAAUAAGGAUCGGCUAAAUCCGUGCCAGCAGCCGCGGUAAUACGGAGGAUCCGAGGGUUAUCCGGAUUUAUUGGGUUUAAAGGGAGCGUAGGUGGAUUGUUAAGUCAGUCGGGAAAGUUUGCGGCUCAACCGUAAAAUUGCAGUUGAAACUGGCAGUCUUGAGUACAGUAGAGGUGGGCGGAAUUGGUGGUGUAGCGGUGAAAUGCUUAGAUAUCACGAAGAACUCCGAUUGCGAAGGCAGCUCACUGGACUGCAACUGACACUGAGGCUCGAAAGUGUGGGUAUCAAACAGAAUUAGAUACCCCGGUAGUC